UACGGAGGAUGCAAGCGUUAUCCGGAAUGAUUGGGCGUAAAGCGUCCGCAGGUGGCUAUGUAAGUCUGCUGUUAAAGAGUCUAGCUCAACUAGAUAAGAGCAGUGGAAACUACAAGGCUAGAGUACGUUCGGGGCAGAGGGAAUUCCUGGUGUAGCGGUGAAAUGCGUAGAUAUCUGGAGGAACACCGGCGGCGAAGGCGGCAUCCUGGACCGGCCGAUUGACGCUGUAGGCGCGAAAGCUAGGGUAGCAACGGG
rnacentral:rRNA from 1 species